GAGUUCAUGCCCUUCGGGGUAGAUCUCCCACCCUUUGUAUACCAUACCUCUGUUGCCUUGGCGGGCCGCCUAGCUACUGGCUUCGGCUGGUAAGUGUCCGCCAGAGGACCCAAAACCCUGAAUAUUAGUGUCGUCUGAGUAAAACUUUAAUAUUUAAAACUUUCAACAACGGAUCUCUUGGCUCU
rnacentral:misc_RNA from 1 species